UUGCAGGAAGGACACCAAAUUCUGUGUUAAACAGGCAAUUUCGUAGAUCAAAACACUGGGGAGCACUGCGGGAGAGCUGGGGCAGAGGAGAACCAGCAAUAAACUACAAAGGGAACAUUGGCUAAAAAUAUUUACUACAAAGGUGCCACAAGCAGUAAUCCUGCUUGUGGUUUGAGAGGCUGAAAUGAGUUGUUUAUGCUGUAAGCACUUUAAUAGUAUGGUUAAUUAGCCGCUCUCCUCUAUUGUGAGGGUAUUUGCCCCCUUGUUCUCUAUACUCCAGAGGCAAAUCCGAAGGUUGGAAGCCAUGCAGAAGUGCAGGCAGAUAGCUUUUAAAAAUUACAGAGGUCAUUGGUGUACCUAAUGCAUGUGAGUGCUGCCCGUCACAUUCUUUUUAAAUGGUCUGAUUUUAUUUUUUUCUUCUCAUCAACAGACCCGGCAGAAGGGAGCAAGUCAGAAGAAGAUCUAUACGAAGGUAAGUUCUGCGCUGCCAGCUGAAAUCAUGGGGCUGCAAAACUUACCCUGGAAUAAACAAGUUCUGCUGAUAGCUGCUGGUGUGCAUGGAGCGUACCUCCCCAGUUGCUUACUACGGAGGCAAAGAAGGCAUGCAGCAAUUUCUAUAGACUCAGAAAAAGAAAACUUGUGCAGAGGGACGGAUGGAGGAAGAUUCAGAAGGAGUAGGAGGAGGAGACGACAAAGGCUGGCUAGAAUUUUUCUGAAAUUUCUUGGGCUCUUCCCCUUUGGCAAGUGGAGAAAGACAGAAAAAUGUUAACUUAACAGAGCUACGUUGACUCUGCAGUGGACUGGUAUCCCACCGUUACUGCUUUGCAGAUCCCGAAGAUGUGCUCACAAGGAAGCAUUGUUUCUAAACAUCAUAAGAUAGCCUGCUUUCAGAUCUGAAGUGGGAACAACGUGUUGCCUACUUCAAUUACAGUCUGAGAAUUAAUUUCAUAUGUGGAAGAACACAACAAAAAGAAGAGGUGAGCAUCUCUUUAUUGUUCUUACGUUCUACAGUGUAACAGAUGACUCCCCAAAAAAUCGAUUUUAUAAAAUCUGAAAAAAUAUUUGGAAGGAAGGAGCCAUCCAAAGGGCUUCUGUGUGUUGCUGACAACCUUAUUAAAGAGAAAUUAAAUUUUGGAGUUCCACCAUGUGGUUCAAAAAAAAAAAAGUUAAUUUUUAGCCAUAACUUAACACUAUCUGAAUUAAGUAUAUGGCUGUCCAAGCUAAUGCUCAUUGUAUGUUUAUGAAC
rnacentral:lncRNA from 1 species